GGGUGAGUAAUGCUUCGGAAUCUGCCCAGUAGUGGGGAAUAACCUAGGGAAACUUAGGCUAAUACCGCAUACGAACUACGGUUGAAAGCAGGGGAUCGCAAGACCUUGCGCUAUUGGAUGAGCCGAAGUCGGAUUAGCUAGUUGGUGAGGUAACGGCUCACCAAGGCGACGAUCCGUAGCUGGUCUGAGAGGACGACCAGCCACACUGGGACUGAGACACGGCCCAGACUCCUACGGGAGGCAGCAGAGGGGAAUAUUGGACAAUGGGGGCAACCCCUGAUCCAGCGACGCCGCGUGUGUGAAGAAGGCCUGCGGGUUGUAAAGCACUUUUA
rnacentral:rRNA from 1 species